rnacentral:rRNA from 1 species
UACGGGGGGAGCAAGCGUUGUUCGGAUUUACUGGGCGUAAAGGGCGCGUAGGCGGCCUCCGCAAGUCAAUUGUGAAAUCUCCGAGCUUAACUCGGAAAGGUCAACUGAUACUGCGGGGCUAGAGUGCGGAAGGGGCAACUGGAAUUCUUGGUGUAGCGGUGAAAUGCGUAGAUAUCAAGAGGAACACCUGCGGCGAAGGCGGGUUGCUGGGCCGACACUGACGCUGGGGCGCGAAAGCUAGGGGAGCGAACGGG